rnacentral:rRNA from 1 species
GACGAACCCUGGCGGCGUGCUUAACACAUGCAAGUCGAACGAUGAAGCCGGAGCUUGCUCUGGUGAAUUAGUGGCGAACGGGUGAGUAACACGUGAGUAACCUGCCCUUGACUCUGGGAUAACUGCUAGAAAUGGUAGCUAAUACCGGAUACGACCCUCGGAGGCAUCUUCAGGGGGUGGAAAGAAUUUCGGUCGAGGAUGGACUCGCGGCCUAUCAGCUAGUUGGUGAGGUAAUGGCUCACCAAGGCGACGACGGGUAGUCGGCCUGAGAGGGUGACCGGCCACACUGGGACUGAGACACGGCCCAGACUCCUACGGGAGGCAGCAGUGGGGAAUAUUGCACAAUGGGCGCAAGCCUGAUGCAGCAACGCCGCGUGAGGGAUGACGGCCUUCGGGUUGUAAACCUCUUUUAGUAGGGAAGAAGCGAAAGUGACGGUACCUGCAGAAAAAGCACCGGCUAACUACGUGCCAGCCGCCGCCGUAA